GGUUAAGCGACUAAGCGUACACGGUGGAUGCCCUGGCAGUCAGAGGCGAUGAAGGACGUGCUAAUCUGCGAAAAGCGUCGGUAAGGUGAUAUGAACCGUUAUAGCCGGCGAUGUCCGAAUGGGGAAACCCAGUGUGAUCCGUCACACUAUCGUUAACUGAAUACAUAGGUUAACGAGGCGAACCGGGGGAACUGAAACAUCUAAGUACCCCGAGGAAAAGAAAUCAACCGAGAUUCCCCCAGUAGCGGCGAGCGAACGGGGAGCAGCCCAGAGUCUGAAUCAGCUUGUGUGUUAGUGGAACGGUCUGGAAAGUCCGACGGUACAGGGUGAUAGUCCCGUACACCAAAAUGCACAGGCUGUGAACUCGAAGAGUAGGGCGGGACACGUGGUAUCCUGUCUGAAUAUGGGGGGACCAUCCUCCAAGGCUAAAUACU
rnacentral:rRNA from 1 species